rnacentral:tRNA from 1 species
GUGGUAUAGCCAAGUGGUAAGGCACAGGUCUGCAAAACCUUGAUCACCGGUUCAAAUCCGGUUACCA